rnacentral:rRNA from 1 species
AUGAUUGUUCUUGAUCAUGAGCAUUGCACAAAUCAUGUUAAGGCUCAUCCAGAGGACGAACAAUACCUUAACAAGACUAUUAUUCAUUAUAAGGAGAUGGUGAAUAUAGCUGGAGGGAGCAUGGCUACAGGGCAAUAUGCAAAAGACUCAAGUGACCCUCUUGCUACAGAAGUGGUUAAUCUUGAAGAAGAGACAACCAAGAAACCCAUUGCCCCACAUGAAGAGGUUGCACAAUCAACCAAUGCAGGUUCAUCCGGUCCCAAACCAAAAAAAGCCAAACCAAAUCCUUGUGCGGAAGAUAGGUUACACGCCACCAUACUUGCAUCUAGUGAAAGAAUUGCUAUUGCGAUAGAGAAGAGUUCUAGCACCGAGAACAAUGCCAUAGAUGGUCUUUGGGAGAGCAUGAAAGUACUCCCUGGGUUUAGUUUGGAUUACCUUGCUCAUUACUAUGCAUAUUUGGUUGACAAUCCUCGUGUUGCAAUGGCAUUCAAGGUGUUGGAAGAUGAUAAAAAGAAGGUUUGGGUUUCUAGGUAUGUCAAGAGUACCUUUCCUGAAGUGUGA